GCUCCAGUGGCCUAGUGGUUAGAGCGUCCGCCUAUGAUGUGGGAGGUCAUGGGUUCGAUCCAGUCGAGUCA